GGCCGCGGUACCCUAACCGUGCAAAGGUAGCACAAUCACUUGUUCUUUAAAUCAGGACUAGUAUGAACGGCUUAACGAGGACUAUGCUGUCUCCCCCUUUCAAUCAGUGAAACUGAUCUCCUCGUGAAGAAGCGAGGAUAUUCUUAUAAGACGAGAAGACCCCGUGGAACUUUAAACUAGCACCACAUCCUUACAAUAAGAUCCUAUGACUGCUAGUCUUUCGGCUGGGGCGACCACGGAAAAAAAUAAAACCCCCGAGAUGAAAGGAAAUAUCCUUAUCCCAGAAUUACUAUUCCAAGAAUCAACAAAUGACAUUAUUGACCCAAUACUUGAUCAACGAACCAAGCUACCCCGGGGAUAACAGCGCAAUCCAUUUCAAGAGACCUCAUCGACAAAUGGGCUUACGACCUCGAUGAUGGAUCAGGAAGUCCGGGUGGUGCAGCCGCUACUAAAGGUUCGUUUGUUCGACGAUUAAAAUCCU
rnacentral:rRNA from 1 species